AGACCCGAAACCCGGUGAUCUAGCCAUGGGCAGGUUGAAGGUUGGGUAACACUAACUGGAGGACCGAACCGACUAAUGUUGAAAAAUUAGCGGAUGACCUGUGGCUGGGGGUGAAAGGCCAAUCAAACCGGGAGAUAGCUGGUUCUCCCCGAAAGCUAUUUAGGUAGCGCCUCGUGAAUUCAUCUCCGGGGGUAGAGCACUGUUUCGGCUAGGGGGCCAUCCCGGCUUACCAACCCGAUGCAAACUGCGAAUACCGGAGAAUGUUAUCACGGGAGACACACGGCGGGUGCUAACGUCCGUCGUGAAGAGGGAAACAACCCAGACCGCCAGCUAAGGUCCCAAAGUCAUGGUUAAGUGGGAAACGAUGUGGGAAGGCCCAGACAGCCAGGAUGUUGGCUUAGAAGCAGCCAUCAUUUAAAGAAAGCGUAAUAGCUCACUGGUCGAGUCGGCCUGCGCGGAAGAUGUAACGGGGCUAAACCAUGCACCGAAGCUGCGGCAGCGACGCUUAUGCGUUGCUGGGUAGGGGAGCGUUCUGUAAGCCUGCGAAGGUGGCCUGUGAGGGUUGCUGGAGGUAUCAGAAGUGCGAAUGCUGACAUAAGUAACGAUAAAGCGGGUGAAAAGCCCGCUCGCCGGAAGACCAAGGGUUCCUGUCCAACGUUAAUCGGGGCAGGGUGAGUCGACCCCUAAGGCGAGGCCGAAAGGCGUAGUCGAUGGGAAACGGGUUAAUAUUCCCGUACUUGGUGUUACUGCGAAGGGGGGACGGAGAAGGCUAUGUUGGCCGGGCGACGGUUGUCCCGGUUUAAGCGUGUAGGUGUGUGUUCCAGGUAAAUCCGGUUCACUUUAACACUGAGGCGUGACGA
rnacentral:rRNA from 1 species